GUUGCACUCCCACACACACCUCCGGAUUGGCAGUGACUCAGCGGCUGCUGCACCCAAGUGCAGGAAGGCUAGGAAUUGUGGACUCCGCACAGAGGCUCUGCACCCUGUAGUGACUGAAGGGUCUCUGCUCCUAAAAACCGAGAAUGCAGCAAUGGACAUUGGAUGAGAGCUGUUACUCAGAUUGUUCCAGCUUUGCCCAUUGGAAACUCCUUUUGCAGCCCUUUGCCUAUCAUUGUAACAUAAAUCUGUCUUGUCCUCAGGGCAGUAGUGAGAAGGUCAAACCUCACUGAGAUGGUGAAUCAUCUUCCUCCGAGGACCUGGGCUCUGGGCUUUACUCUACAUGGUAAAGGUCCAUCCUCUGACGUACGCUGUUGGGGUUUGGAUCAGGCUCCCAGUUGCAGAACACAGCUUCCACAAAACAGACCUGAGGAAUUCUUCAUAAUGGAUCAUCUGAAACUUGGCCUGGAGCUGUAUCCAGUCCAUCUCAGCGAGAAAUUCUCCUCUGAAGUUAAGAGCUAAGCACAUGAUACCUUGUCAUUUUCAUAUCAUCUUUGGAUGUGUUUAAACAUAUUGCAGAAUGUCCCAGGAUGCAUCAUUAGACACUAGAGAGGUUCUAAACUUGCCAUUGCAAAGAAUCUGCGUGGGAUAAAGUAGAUGAGAGCCUGCCUUGAGGCAGGAGCUGACCUUCAGAAAGUCCUCUCCAACCAGGGACAUUUCAUGACCAUGCAGUGAAGCGCCCACUGGUUGCAAGUUAACAAGAGACAACAGUGUCACUGGCAGUACAAACAUGUCUAUGAUAUGUCUUGUCUUGUAUUUGUGCUUUAAUUUAGUGGAAUUCUGAAAACCAUAAUGAAUAAUAACCAAGUGAGGGGUAGUUCUGAGGCAGAGAAUACAAAGGAAACGGGAAACAAAGAAAGUAGUUGAUCAAGAAAGGAACAGUGUCCAAAUGAGUGAAGACUUAUAUAAUGAACUCACCAAAGCUGAGGUCAUAAGCAAAUCCCACAAGUAUCUGAUUCUACAGAAAUGCGGCUGAGCAAGGCCGGGGUACUGUGAAUCUAGAUGAAGCAACAGAUUAAUGUUCAAGCAGAAAGGGAGCAUAAGUGAUACAGCCUCUAAAUUCUUCAAAGGUAAAAGAUAAAGUUUCAGUGUUCCAGGGCUGGUGUAAGCCUGUGUGAAACCUCUCAAAAUAACCAAUUCCUGGAAGCAGAUUGUGGAGACUGGUAAUGAAAGAGGUGGAGGAAUUUUAUUAGCCCAAGAAAAGGCUUUCUGCAACUUGAAACUUCCCUCAGGUUAGACUUUCAUGCCAAAAACUUGCAUGUGCCAAAGGCUUUCCAAAGACAUCUACGAGUGAAAUCAAAACACCUGUCAUGACUGUGAGUGAAUCCUUCUGGGGAACUGGCAGACUCUUGAUCUGUAAUGUAAAUGCAACGAGUUCACACUCUAAUGAUUGAGCAAUCUGUUGUGUAGAAGGUAGAAGCUGUCUCUAUCCUCCUUGACUGAGACAGGCCUGCCCCCUGAAUUGUACCACUGCAUUCUAGUAUGAAGCCAUUCCUCUAUCCGUACAAGCAUGAGAACAUGUUUUCUUAUUGGCAUGACAUUGCUGGGAAACAACCAACCAGCUGCAGCCCCAGUGUCCAGCGGUACUGUGGCUACCACCAGGACUGGUCGCAGAUGUAAAGCCUGCAGAAUACCAGACUGGAGUCUACAUAAAAAACUAGCAGGCUGUCAUGGUUUAUGUCUGUUGCCCCCAGGCCUCAUGAGUUUGCAUUGUGCGUUUGUGAUGGUUCAUUGUCUAGUGCUUGGAUUCAUGGUGUCAGUGCUACACCCAGAUAGGGGUGGAGCCAGGAUGUGAUGUAAUGGCAGGAAGAAGGUGUGUCUUGCUCUUUGCUGGUUCCUGCUUGCUGUUUGCAGCUGCCAUGAACUGCGGCCCCACCAUGCCCGCCUGCCUUGGAGCCAACUGAGUGUAGACUGAAACCUCCAAAAACUGUAAGAAAUAAAUCUUUCCUUUCCCAA